rnacentral:lncRNA from 1 species
AUGCAGCUCCAGCCCAGUUGGCAGCUCCUCGGGCCUGGUGCUGUUGUUUGCUUCAGUGAUGCGAGCGCUUCUCCGCAUGGGGUCACAAUGCAGCUCCGGGAGGGACACGCCAGCUCUCAGAUCCCAUCUGUCCAAAGCCGGCGUAGAAUCUGGCCUUGGGUGGAGCUAUGCCAGAUCUGCAUCUCCCUGGAUAUGGAUCUAACAAGUAACAUUUCAGUUCUGCCGCAGAGCAUACCAGCGUCUCUCUGACACCUCCCUGAGAUAAGGUCUGGUUCAGCAACCAUCCUGACAAGGGAAACCCAGAUCGCAUCCUGGAAUGCCAGUUCUGAGAAGGAAGGGUCUCACCGGAGUGCGGGAGCAUAAUAGUUUCUUUCUGGUCAUCAAGCCUACUUUUCCAUAGUCCUGGACAGAUGGACAACCAUUGUUGUCCAUUGUGUUCCUGUUGUCUUCUCCAACAGGAACAAAUAUACUCUGUGUACCACCAGACAUACAGGAACAGAUAUACUCUGUGUAUCACCAGACAUAAAACUGUAUCAUACAGGACACCCCCCAAAGUCCCGAAAAUUAUCCUUCAGAGAAAAAGACCUUUAACGAAUGUGAAAAGGGGCAAAAGCCACAAAUGGUUCAAGAAAGCAAGACUGCUAUAAACUAUGGCUGGAGCUGUUUUCUCUUGCAAAAGCAAAUGUGUUAUGUAAAACUGCAGCAAAGCUCUAACUUUCUUCUGGAGAGGCGUACCAGAUCCCUGCAGUGUGCCUUCACUGGAAGGGCUCCUGGAGCCACCUGUUCAUUGAGUAGUAGGCACGUUGCCAGACAAUAAAUCAGCAGAGCUCUAAACUUCCA